rnacentral:lncRNA from 1 species
GGCAAAGAUAAGUGCUGACAAGGAGGUGGGAAUCAGGCACUUCCAUAUCUUGUUAGCAAAGGUGUAAAUCGCAAUCUGUCUGGAAGGCAACUGACAAUAAUAAAAAUUAAAAUGGACAUUUCCUUUGAUCCAACAAUAAAUUCUUCCCAAUAGUUCUAUAUGUAUAUGAUUGCAAAGAUAUAGGUACAAGGAUGUUCAUUGCAUCAUUGUUUCCAGGAACAAAAGUGACAAACCAAAUGUCCAACAGGAGAUUGAUUAAAUAAAUUAUGUAAUGGAUCAAAAACUACUAACAUGACUAUUUCUAGUCUUCCCCUUCCAUCUGCUAGGUAAAGAGAAUUUUGUCUUAGGUCAAUGUUCUCAUUUCUCUCCCUAAGGGAAGUGUUCAAUAGCUUUUGGACUUCCGUGAUGCAGUAACACGCGGAAAGCAGAGGGCACAGAAAGCUGCAAAACUUUGUGGAAUCGACACAAGCUCAGGAAUGUGAGGAAGCAUAUGGAAAAGGAAAGGACUUUACUAAAAUUGGAAGAGCCAAUGACCUACCAGGAGCCAGGCAAUACAUUACAGCAGUGUUCUUGAAUUUGAGCGUGCACUGGAACCGCCUGGAGCGCUUGUUAAAACACAACCGGCUGGGCCCAUGCCCAGAGUUUCUGAUUCAGUGGAUCUAGGCUGGAGCCUGAGAAUUUGCGUUUCUAACAAGUUCCCAGGCGAUGCUGCUGCUGCUGGUUCAGGGACGACACUGUUGAAUGCAGGACCCCUGCAUUAAAGCAUACUACUUUAUCUCAGCGGAACCACCAGGAGCAGGAGAGCACACAGGUGAAUGAGGGCCAGGAGGUCAUCAAGGAAAAUCUAGGGCUGAAGAUCUAGAGGAAAUCCCAAUAGUUUCAGUGCCGAGCCGGCCAGUUGGCCAUCACAGGGCUGAGAAGGUGCAGAGGCAAGACAGUAACUGCUCUGGUAGAGUAGGGGAUGAGAAUGUCACCUGCAUCAUGGUCCUACUGGGACUGGGUUUGAUCAUUGUUACAGAUGGAUAUUUAGUCUUUUCAUUGUAAAUUAGCUUCCACUGUUGGGAGAAGAGAUCCUCAUCUUCAUUUCCUUAACUUCAAAAUGGAAAUGACUCUUGCUUUGAGAGGUCUCAACAAUUGAAGUCAGAGGGCAAAUGUUACCGGAAAUGCAAAUAAUAAAAAUAAGUGCAAGACCAAAAAAAAUUAUAAAAGUGCAAGGCUCAAAAACGAAGAUGCUUCUCCUUUAUCUUUGUGUUACUUGACUUAGAACAAAAAAAACGGACUCCGACCCACCUCUGGGUCAAACUUCCCAGGGCGGUCUUCUCCCAGCCACGGCUUCCCUGCGACGCUUGGCUCGGCCAGCAGAUGGUGCGGGUCCAGCGCUUUUCCGAACCUAGGCUGAGCGGGCAGCACACGGAGACUGCGCGGCUCAGCGGCGUCGCCCCCGCCGCGCUCUCGGAUCACAACACCGUCAGGCCACUGCGCCGCUCCGCCCCGAGCUUUGCUGCAAGCGCCCAGGGGGCGGAUUCCUUUGGGGUGACUGGAUUUGGGAGGAAAACUUGCACGGAGUGCUCAUUGGGGCCGAAAUACCUAUUCCGCUCAGGAGUGGG